rnacentral:rRNA from 1 species
UACGUAGGGUGCGAGCGUUAAUCGGAAUUACUGGGCGUAAAGCGUGCGCAGGCGGCGCGUUAAGACAGGUGUGAAAGCCCCGAGCUUAACCUGGGAAUGGCAUUUGGGACUGCAAGGCUUGAGUGCGGCAGAGGAGACUGGAAUUCCUGGUGUAGCAGUGAAAUGCGUAGAUAUCAGGAGGAAUACCGAUGGCGAAGGCAGGUCUCUGGGCUGACACUGACGCUCAUGCACGAAAGCGUGGGGAGCAAACAGG